rnacentral:rRNA from 2 species
CGCGCAGGCGGUUCUUCAAGUCAGGGGUGAAAGCCCAGAGCUCAACUCUGGAAUUGCCUUUGAAACUGUAGAACUUGAGUACGGGAGAGGUGAGUGGAAUUCCCAGUGUAGAGGUGAAAUUCGUAGAUAUUGGGAAGAACACCGGUGGCGAAGGCGGCUCACUGGCCCGUUACUGACGCUCAGGCGCGACAGCGUGGGGAUCAAACAGGAUUAGAUACCCUGGUAGUCCACGCCGUAAACGAUGAACGCUAGCCGUUGGAUAGCUUGCUAUUCAGUGGCGCAGCUAACGCAUUAAGCGUUCCGCCUGGGGAGUACGGCCGCAAGGUUGAA